rnacentral:lncRNA from 1 species
CUUGAACUGAAAGUAGGGGGGAUGCAGAUAGGGAAAGGAGCUGAUGUGACUUAAUGUGUGCGAAGAAGAGGAAGAAGACCCCAAGUUUCUAGCUUGGGACAGAAUGGGUAGCAAUGUUUCUGAUAUUGAAACUCUUAGAGGGCAAGCAAGAUUUGGGGUGAGUUCAGCUUUGGAAAUGUUAGAUUCCAAGCUCACAGGGUAUUCAAAGUAAUUGGAAAACAGACUCUCAGUUUGAGAAGCAAAUUUGAGUUCCAUGUAAAUGGUGUCUGAUGCCUCUGGGAGAGGUGGGAUUAACCCAGAGGAAGGGUUCAGGAAAAAAAAGGAGGAAGACACUGGACUGAGCUCUGCAGAACUUGGAAACAAUGGCUGGGCAAGCCAGAGUCUGAGUUUUGCCAAGACUGGAGAGAGCAAGUAUCCCUAGAACCAGCCCUUAUUGCAGCCACCAGGGUUGGAACUCAUAAGCAGCUCUCAAAUAGUUCUGGAGAUGAAAUCCAGAGCCCCACAUAUGCCAGACAAGCGCUGUAUCCAUGAGCUACACCUUGGUCCUGAAAUGGUUCUCUUGAACCCAGGCUGCAGAUUCUUGAUUGAGUCAUAGAAACCAUGAUUCAUCUGGGGCCCAGAUAAUCUAGCAGACUUCUUGUCCCUUUUCCUUUCUAACUAGAUGGAGCUCCUCCCACAUGUAUGGCUUUGCUUGAAGUCAGCCUUUCUCCUGCCAACCUGUCAAAGAGUUCUCUGUCCAGAGGGCUCACCAGAACUUUAUUUCAGGGAGCCAACUCCUUUGGGUUCUCAGGUUCUGCUGGCUCUCUAGUUCCCAUGGGUGGCAUUAUCCUACUGAGGCUUAUUUGAAAUACCAGUUUACCAGCUGCAUUUGAAAAGUUACAUCUAGCAUCUGUAAUGAGUUGAAUUAUGUCCCUCAAAAGAUAUGUUGAAGACCCACCAAGCCUAUGAAUGUGGCCUUAUUUACAAA